rnacentral:lncRNA from 10 species
GGAGAGUUGAGCUGCAGGCAAAGCCCACCCGCCACUCCAGUUUUCCUCUCCAGAGUUUCAGCAGGAAGGGUCUUAAGAGUUUAUUUUACAGCUGCAGGAGAAAGUCGGCUUUGACACCCUGUACUUGAUGGACCAGCUGACACCACCCAGACUAUUAAUCUGGCUCAACCAGUUCUGCAAUCCUACCCAGGAACAGAAGACAGCAAGCAAACCUCACUUUGACCCCCACUAUGAUUCUAUCUCCAACCUAACCAAUCAGCACUCCCCACUUCCUGAGCCCCUACCCACCAAAUUAUCUUUAAAAACUCUGAUCCCUGAAUGCUCAGGGAGACUGAUUUGAAUAACAAAACUCCAGGUCUGCUGCACAGCUGGCUCUGCGUGAAUGAUUCUUUCUGCAUUGCAAUUUCCCUUUCCUGAUAAAUUGGCUCUGUCUAAGCGGUGCGCAAGGUCAACACGUUGGGUGGUUACAGGACCCCAGGAGAACUUGUUCCCAAGUGUGACCCUUGGAGACUGCUGCUGGAAUGCUAACACACAUAGAAUGUACUUGACUUUUUGAAUCUGUUCUUGAAAAUGAACCACAAGAUCAUGUGUAAGAAUUUAUACUACUGUUUAACUAAGCCUGUGUUGUGGAACCAAAAAAUCCUUUUUCUUUUUUUUGAGAUGGAGUCUCGCUCCGUCGCUCAGACUGAAGUGCAGAGGCACGAUCUCAGCUCACUGCAACCUCAGCCUCCCAGGUUCAAGCGAUUCUCCUGCUGAGCCUCCCGAGUAGCUGGGACUACAGGCACGUGCCACCACACCUGGCUAAUUUUUUGUAUUUUUAGUAGAGAUAGGGCUUCACCUGGUUAAGCAGGAUGGUCUUAAUCUCCUGACCUUGUGAUCCACCCGCCUUGGCCUCCCAACAUGCUGGGAUUACAGGCGUGAGCCACUGUGCCCAGCCUAAAAAAAUCCCUUUUCAAAUGACUUCUUUUCCAAAAACACUUAAAGAUAUUUUAGAUCACUUAUCUUAAAAGUAUGGGCCAUGGUUUACUCAAACAGGAUCUAAAAAUUUCAAGGAGAGGGGCAUCACAAUCAUGGUCAAAUACCAUGUCAGUGUACUGUUAAAAUAUUACCAAAAUCUUGCCAUAUAAAUUUCUACUGGAAAAUUAGGCUGGUGGAUAAUUUGAUUGUAUUGUUCA